GACGAACGCUGGCGGCGUGCUUAACACAUGCAAGUCGAACGGAAAGGCCCUGCUUUUGGGGGGUGCUCGAGUGGCGAACGGGUGAGUAACACGUGAGUAACCUGCCCUUGACUUUGGGAUAACUUCAGGAAACUGGGGCUAAUACCGGAUAGGAGCUUCUUCUGCAUGGUGGGGUUUGGAAAGUUUCGGCGGUUGGGGAUGGACUCGCGGCUUAUCAGCUUGUUGGUGGGGUAGUGGCUUACCAAGGCUUUGACGGGUAGCCGGCCUGAGAGGGUGACCGGCCACAUUGGGACUGAGAUACGGCACAGACUCCUACGGGAGGCAGCAGUGGAGAAUAUUGCACAAUGGGCGGAAGCCUGAUGCAGCAACGCCGCGUGCGGGAUGACGGCCUUCGGGUUGUAAACCGCUUUCGCCUGUGACGAAGAGUGAGUGACGGUAAUGGGUAAAGAAGCACCGGCUAACUACGUG
rnacentral:rRNA from 1 species